GGAAGGCAACCGCAUCCGGUGGUGCGGCCGGGCUUCAAACCCGGUAGGGGGCGUCAGCCGCUCCCUCGUAAGUUCGACUCUUGCUGCCUUCCGCCA
rnacentral:tRNA from 1 species